AGUGCUCAAGAGGUAGCACACAAGGCUCUUAACCUUGUGGACGUGGGUUCAAGCCCCAU
rnacentral:tRNA from 1 species